rnacentral:rRNA from 1 species
UGAUAAGCCGGAGGAAGGUGGGGAUGACGUCAAGUCCUCAUGGCCCUUACAGGCUGGGCUACACACGUGCUACAAUGGCAUCUACAGUGGGCAGCUAUUCCGCAAAGGAUGCGCUAAUCUCCAAAAGAUGUCUCAGUUCGGAUUGUCCUCUGCAACUCGAGGGCAUGAAGGCGGAAUCGCUAGUAAUCGCGGAUCAGCAUGCCGCGGUGAAUACGUUCCCAGGCCUU